rnacentral:rRNA from 1 species
CAACAAAUGCCCUGCUUCCAGGAAAAGCCUCUAAGCAUCAGGUAACAUCAAAUCGUACCCCAAACCGACACAGGUGGUCAGGUAGAGAAUACCAAGGCGCUUGAGAGAACUCGGGUGAAGGAACUAGGCAAAAUGGUGCCGUAACUUCGGGAGAAGGCACGCUGACACGUAGGUGAAGUGAUUUACUCAUGGAGCUGAAGUCAGUCGAAGAUACCAGCUGGCUGCAACUGUUUAUUAAAAACACAGCACUGUGCAAACACGAAAGUGGACGUAUACGGUGUGACGCCUGCCCGGUGCCGGAAGGUUAAUUGAUGGGGUCAGCGCAAGCGAAGCUCCUGAUCGAAGCCCCGGUAAACGGCGGCCGUAACUAUAACGGUCCUAAGGUAGCGAAAUUCCUUGUCGGGUAAGUUCCGACCUGCACGAAUGGCGUAAUGAUGGCCAGGCUGUCUCCACCCGAGACUCAGUGAAAUUGAACUCGCUGUGAAGAUGCAGUGUACCCGCGGCAAGACGGAAAGACCCCGUGAACCUUUACUAUAGCUUGACACUGAACAUUGAGCCUUGAUGUGUAGGAUAGGUGGGAGGCUUUGAAGUGUGGACGCCAGUCUGCAUGGAGCCGACCUUGAAAUACCACCCUUUAAUGUUUGAUGUUCUAACGUGGACCCGUUACCCGGGUUGCGGACAGUGUCUGGUGGGUAGUUUGACUGGGGCGGUCUCCUCCUAAAGAGUAACGGAGGAGCACGAAGGUUGGCUAAUCCUGGUCGGACAUCAGGAGGUUAGUGCAAUGGCAUAAGCCAGCUUGACUGCGAGCGUGACGGCGCGAGCAGGUGCGAAAGCAGGUCAUAGUGAUCCGGUGGUUCUGAAUGGAAGGGCCAUCGCUCAACGGAUAAAAGGUACUCCGGGGAUAACAGGCUGAUACCGCCCAAGAGUUCAUAUCGACGGCGGUGUUUGGCACCUCGAUGUCGGCUCAUCACAUCCUGGGGCUGAAGUAGGUCCCAAGGGUAUGGCUGUUCGCCAUUUAAAGUGGUACGCGAGCUGGGUUUAGAACGUCGUGAGACAGUUCGGUCCCUAUCUGCCGUGGGCGCUGGAGAACUGAGGGGGGCUGCUCCUAGUACGAGAGGACCGGAGUGGACGCAUCACUGGUGUUCGGGUUGUCAUGCCAAUGGCACUGCCCGGUAGCUAAAUGCGGAAGAGAUAAGUGCUGAAAGCAUCUAAGCACGAAACUUGCCCCGAGAUGAGUUCUCCCUGAGACUUAGAGUCUCCUGAAGGAACGUUGAAGACGACGACGUUGAUAGGCCGGGUGUGUAAGCGCAGCGAUGCGUUGAGCUAACCGGUACUAAUGAACCGUGAGGCUUAACCUUACAACGCCGAAG